GGCCCACUAGCUCAACUGGCAGAGCAGCUGACUCUUAAUCAGUAGGUUCAAGGUUNNAGGUUCAAGUCCUUGGUGGGUCA
rnacentral:tRNA from 1 species